GUCUCCCUGCUCUUACCCACAUGGAAUCGGCUUCAUUAAUAGAAAAUAUAUGACUUAGUGGAAGCAGUACCUUGGGAUGGUAUGACUUCCUAUCUUCUAAGCCAGAGUUUCCUGGCAUCAAAUCAAUGUCCAACAAGUGUUUACUGCGUGGCAACCAUGUGGUGGAUUCUGUGAGAGAAUGCAGAUGAAAACACCUACCUCUGCCUUCAAGGAGCUCACAAGCCAGUGAAAUUCUAACGAUCAAAGCAAACUUGAAGAGUAAAGAGAAAGCCGAAGUAAACUCAUGCAGGGGAGAGACUUGCAACUUCUUAUUCUAAAAAGGAUUGGAAGCACCCCGAAGAGACUGUAUAUCAUGCAGCAAGAUAUAAAAUGAGAUGUGGAAAAUAAAUUUCAAGAGGAAAAUCAAGGUAAGAAAAUUGAAAUAUAUAGUACAUGACAGAGAAAAAUUUGUAAUCGAGUCUUAAACAUCUGGUAUCUAAUGCAUUUCAGUUGUUCUUAA